GUGGGUGUGGUGAAAUUGGUAAACACGUAGUCUUGAGGAGGCUAUGCUUCGGCUUGGGGGUUCAAUUCCCCCCACCCAUA
rnacentral:tRNA from 1 species